rnacentral:lncRNA from 1 species
CACAAAGAUUGCUUGGACAAGUGGGUACUUUAUGGUCGGGAAAACUGCCCGUUGUGUCGGGAUUGUUUGACGGCAGCCGCAAUGAAUGUUCCUUUAAAGCUAAAUGAUAAAUAGGUAACAUAGAAUCCAAUUAGAUUCCUGAUUGGAGUUUUACUAUCUUGAGAUUAAAAAAAAAAUACCCUUUGCAAAAAAAAAAAUAUUAUCGAAUAAAUUAAACAUGCAUACCUAAGGGCUAGUCACUACAAGAAAAAAUACCUUGUAUGGUUACGAAAAGUCAUCCGUGGCGGAAAUUCAUCACGAAAAGUCCGUCACGAGGAAAUCCAUCAUGACAAUGGUUGAACCGCCACGAAAAAUCUGCCACCUAUUUCUCCCCCCGAUUUCCAACCGAAAAAAUUAUCAAUGGUAGAAAUUCGUCACAAAUUCGUAAGAUUUUCGCGGGAACCCAAAAAUACAGAACUUUUCGUGGCGAAAGUCCGUCCUACAAGGUCAUUUUUCGUAGUUAGCGGCGAGAAUGGGCCGAGGUCGACCUGAGUCCCGGUUGUUAAGGUUGGAAUAUUACAUGUAUAAUUUUUCCGACCCUAAAAU